rnacentral:rRNA from 1 species
ACGAAGGGGGCUAGCGUUACUCGGAAUUACUGGGCGUAAAGCGUGCGUAGGCUGUUUUGUAAGUUGGUAGUUAAAUUCUCGAGCUCAACUCGAGGCCUGCUAUCAAAACUGCAAGACUAGAGUGUCGGAAAAGAUAGUGGAAUUCCUAGUGUAGAGGUGAAAUUCAUAGAUAUUAGGAGGAACACCAGAAGCGUAAGCGACUAUCUAGCCGAAUACUGACGCUGUUGCACGAAAGCGUGGGGAGCAAACAGG